rnacentral:rRNA from 1 species
GUGCCAGCCGCCGCGGUAAUACAGAGGGUGCAAGCGUUAAUCGGAAUUACUGGGCGUAAAGCGCGCGUAGGUGGUUUGUUAAGUUGGAUGUGAAAUCCCCGGGCUCAACCUGGGAACUGCAUUCAAAACUGACUGACUAGAGUAUGUUAGAGGGUGGUGGAAUUUCCUGUGUAGCGGUGAAAUGCGUAGAUAUAGGAAGGAACACCAGUGGCGAAGGCGACCACCUGGACUGAUACUGACACUGAGGUGCGAAAGCGUGGGGAGCAAACAGGAUUAGAAACCCGCGUAGUCC